AACAUGCAUCAGUAAGUGUAGAAAAGUCACAACUGAAUGUGUUAAUCUACCUGUGGAAUCAGAAGUAAAUUUUACAGCAUUUUUCUGAAGGUUCCUCUUGAAGAAGUCUUGUACAGGAGACUAAAGCUUCCACAGGAAGGAUCAUGAAUUUGUUACGUGGGAAAUGCUGUUGGGCUGACCUAUUCAACUGAUGUACCCAAAUGCUGGCUGAGUGCAUCCCAUAUCAAGUGCUUGACAUUAUUUGCUUGCAAGCUAUGUUUCAGCAUUACAAAAUUGGCAUUUCAGAAUUGCAAAUGAAAGCAGUCCAGUUGAAAUAUCCAUUACAGAAUGUGGCAUAAUGUAUGGCUUCCAAAAUAAAGAAUAUGAUGUGGAAAAUAUCUUUAUAUAUUCAGGCAUCCUGCAUCACCAACAGGCAUCUGCCUUUUUGCAGAGCAUUUAAUUCAAUACUGGGAAAGCAGCAGUUGGCAGUCUGAUUCUCCUUACCAUAUGAUGACUAUUUCCCUCAAAUCAAAAUCAAGCUGCCAGUUCUAGAGACUCUUCUCAAAGCAAAUAGCGUCAAUAAAAGAAGUGUGGAGAAGUGAUAUGAAUAGCAGGUGUGCCAGAUCAGCCACAUCAUCAUCUGUGGAAAUAUUCACAUUUGGACUUCAGGGGUGAAAUCCAGGACUCUUUGAAAUCAAUAUAUUUUCACAGAUAUUUUAACAGAGAUGAGAAUUUUCUGCUAAUCUUUCUUCUUUCAGCUACUUCUUCUCAGAAGAGUUACAUACAGACAGAUUUUUUAAGUGUGAACAUGCACUGGCAGAUCCUUAUUCUUUCUGUGCUCAGUUAUAAAUGUGGUAGGACAUUUAUGUUCAAAAAACUACCUACAGCCUAAUUGCAGAAGAAAGGAACACUGCAGGUCCUGCCUGAGAGGUUGAGCUGAACACAUUUUUUUUCUGGCUUACUGGUCUGGAAGAGAUUCAGAUAAGCUGAAAUCUUUUCAUGGCGCAAACUUUUGAAAGUAUAGAUCUUCCUUUCCAACUAACAUUAUGCAAGGACUGAAUCGUUGGCAUUCUGAGCAUUUGAGUUACUAGUUGCUAGUGCCACCUGCAACUUUGGCCAAAAGAUAAGAAGGUGUUUGCUUGUUUAUAUGAUAUCAGAAAAGGAUUUAAUGGGGAUAAGUUUAAUAUGCAGUAUUACACUUUUCAUUGUUUCUAAUUAAAUCACAAAUACAAUCUGCAUAUUUUGGUGAGAAUACAGUAUUUUCUAACAGAUUUUGGAUAAAAUGACCUAAAACAAUCACAGCAAUAUGAAGGCUAGUGGAGAAGUGGGUGGAGAAUCAACAUAAAAAAAUAAUUGUUUCAGUGACAUUUCUAAUGUCUGAUAUGGCAUUUCAUUUUCUCAUUUAGUGUGUAUAGAUCUUAGGAUUUUUAGUUAAAUGAAUCUAUAGUAGGUUGGCUGUUGAGCAUGGCUUGAUAUCUUUUCUAGAGGACAAAUACAGGGAAAAAAAUACCUGUGAAUGUUAUUCAGAGAUAUUUGAUCACAUUCUUAAGAAGCUGGCUGGAAUCUUAGAAAAACAUGUUUCCUCAAUGAUCUUCAUGAGUUAAGUUGCCCUGCAGAAGAACUUCUGCUAUUUCUGUUGGGGAUUGAGAGUGUCUUUAUUUCCUUGUCAGUUGGGAACUGUUUUACUGUAUAAUUAUAAUCAUAUGUUGGAGCACACAAAUAUAAAGCUUUGAAAUUAUUAUUGUGAGUUUUAGUCUAAGAAAUUUAUGUUCACAAUAAAGAUGACUUUUUUUUA
rnacentral:lncRNA from 7 species